UUUGAGUUAGUGUAUAUCCUGAAGAGUAGGUAGUUUUUAAAACUCGAAGUGGAAACACUGAGCUGUAAGUUGUUUUGAGGGAAUAGGAAUGAGAGGAUAAAUAAGCUCAUCUCUGGUAACAUGCUGAAGGUGAUACAGCUUUUUUAAAUCACUAAUAAAGCUGGGACUCUCUUUUCAUAGGCAUAUACAACUUUGCUAACUGCUUUUUGCUUUCUGUUGUUUGCACAGAAAUAAAUUCAGCUGCUCUGUAGCUUUUGCUAUUGGUGCAAGAGGUAGAAUAAGAGUAAUUUCAUCCUCUCAGUACUUGGAAAGUCUUACAAAAGCCAUGUGACUGUCCUGACUUAGACAUACAAGUUUUCAUUGACAUACUUAGUUUCAGUGAGAUUCUUAACUGAGCUGCAGUAAAUGAUUGGUCUACCUUUAAAGUUGUGAGUAUAGAGAAUAUGAAACAGAUUUGCCAUAAUUAUGCUCCUGAAGAUGUAAAGUCAUUGCCCC
rnacentral:lncRNA from 1 species